rnacentral:lncRNA from 1 species
CCCUGCCCGGCCGCGUGCGCUCUCGCGACCAGCGUUUGCAAAGUUGGUAUUUAAUUUAAGCAAAGGCAGAUGCCUACCUGGGGACCAGUAGAGUGGGUCGAGGGGGUUCCUGAUGACUCACAGCCUCCCACUCUUGGCGUUUGCCUAGACUGACAAGUCCGCGCGCGCCCCCGCCGCCGGGCUGUUGAGUUCCACCUGCGCACGUGUCGUGUCCGUGUCGUGGCUGUUUUGCUCCUCGCGGACGCGCCAGGGUUGGCAUAUGCCAGGCCCGAAACAGACCCGGCUUCCAUGGCCAGGCCGGCCUGAGCCGCCAGCGUCGCGCCUUGCUUGGACUUGGACCAGGGGGAGCCAAAGCCUGAAUAGGACAGGGCGUCCCCGAAGAGGUUCCCGAGGCAGGCGCGAAACGGAGCGCAGAAGGGGAGCGCUCACCGCCGUCAGACGCAGCGUCCGCGGCCCAGCGCGGGAUGCGCGGAGCAAGGAAAAUCUAACAUGAACCCAUCCAUUGUUUGGGACAGUGGGACAAAGCAGGAGCCAACAUGGCGCGAAAAGUGAAGAGUGUAUGUUGGAUGAUCUACAAAUUCAAAUCAGUGGAACCAACAGGUCAGAGUGAGAAGUCUGCAGAAGAAAUACAAGUAGUCUCCAUCCGAACCCCUUCAAAACUCUCCAGAUAUCAAGAUAUCAAGUGAGGGCCAUCUCAUCUCUUAUUGUAAGCGAAGGCUCUGGCUGUUUUUAUUGGAAUCUCAGAGUAAAGGGCAUUGGGUCUUCUCUUCCUUCUUUAAAUAGGAAGAGAGCUCUGUGUGCAUAUCAUGCAUGGUUCCUGAGGGUCAGAUGCAUGUAUUCAGAAUCAGGUACUCAGCUGGCAUGUCAUUCACAAGGCUGAACAUUGCUCGCUAGCAGGAUGGCGAUCGGUAUCAAGAUUCCUCAAGUAAUUAAAAAUAAUAAAAAAAUUAUAUCCAGUAUUAUAAUAUCCAAUUUGGCUUUACAUUUAUUGGAAAUAAAGACCCCCCUACACUGAGGACCUGUUAUUUGCAGACAAGUGCUUGCAGGUACCUAUCUGAAAAUCUUUAUCAAUUAUAAAUAAAAAUAUGAAAAUUCUAGGUAGCCAGU